rnacentral:rRNA from 1 species
CCUACGGGUGGCAGCAGUGGGGAAUAUUGGGCAAUGGGCGCAAGCCUGACCCAGCAACGCCGCGUGAAGGAAGAAGGCUUUCGGGUUGUAAACUUCUUUUAUUGAGGACGAAACAAAUGACGGUACUCAAUGAAUAAGCCACAGCUAACUACGGGCCAGCAGCCGCGGUAAUACGUAGGUGGCAAGCGUUAUCCGGAUUUACUGGGUGUAAAGGGCGUGUAGGCGGGACUGCAAGUCAGAUGGGAAACCCCUGGGCUCAACCCAUGGCCUGCAUUUGAAACUGUAGUUCUUUAGUGAUGGGGCGGCAGGCGGAAUUCCUUGUGUAGCGGUGAAAUGCGUAGAUAUCCGGAGGAACACCAGUGGCGAAGGCGGCCUGCUGGACCUUAACUGCCGCUGAGGCGCGAAAGCGUGGGGAGCAAACAGGAUUAGAUACCCGGGUAGUC